UAUAAAAUCAUUAAUAAUAUUCAAUAUAUUAAAUAAUAAUUUAUUUAAUAUUAAAUCCUUUCGUACUAUAAUAUUAUAAAUAAUUAAAGAUAGAAACCAACCUGGCUUACACCGGUUUGAACUCAGAUCAUGUAAGAAUUUAAAAGUCGAACAGACUUAAUUAUUAAGCUUCUACACCUAAAAUUUUUCUUAAUCCAACAUCGAGGUCGCAAUCUAUUUUAUCAAUAUGAACUCUCCAAAAUAAUUACGCUGUUAUCCCUAAAGUAACUUAUUUUUUUAUUCAUUAAUAAUUAAUCAAUAAUUCAUAAAUCAAUGAACUUUAAAAUAAUAAAAGUUUAUUAAAUUUUACUAUCUCCCCAAUAAAAUAUAAAAAAUAAAUACAUUUAAAUCUUCUAAUUAAUUUUAUAUUUAUAAUAUUAUAUAUAAGAUUUAUAGGGUCUUCUCGUCUUUUAAAUAAAUUUUAGCUUUUUUACUAAAAAAUAAAAUUUUAAUAUAUUUUUCUUGAAACAGUAUAUAUUUCAUCCAACCAUUCAUUCCAGUUCUCAAUUAAAAAACUAAUGAUUAUGCUACCUUUGUACAGUCAAUAUACUGCAGCCAUUUAAAAUUUCAGUGGGCAGGUUAAACUUUAUAUUUAAUCAUAAAGAGAUGUUUUUGUUAAACAGGUGAAUAUAUAAAUUUGCCGAAUUCUUUAAAAAAAAUUAUUAAUUAAAUUUAUUAUUAUAAAUUAUUAUACUAAUUUUAUCAUUAUUUCUAACUUAUUUUAAUUACAAAUUAUAUAUUAAUAAAUAAUUAAAAUUUACAAAAUUAUUAUUAUAUUUAUAAUAAAUUAUUACAUUUUCUUUAAUAUUGAAUAAUUUUAACCCUAUAUUUUAUAAAUUUAUUAUUAUUAUUUUUAAAAAUUUAUUUUAUAGCUUAUCCCAUAAAAUACUUAAAUAAAAUAAUUAUUUAUUUUUAAAAUUAAACAAAUAAUAUAAAAUUUAUAAAUUAAAUUUAUUUCUUAAAAAACUAGAUACCUUUAAAAACGAAAAACAUUUCAUUUCAAAUAUAUUAUUUAAAAUAAAUUUAUUACUUUAUAUUUAUUAAUAUAUUAAAUCUUUUAAAAUCGAGAAAUUUAAAUUUUUAAAUAUUAUUUAAUAAACCCUGAUACACAAGGUACAAAAAAUAAAUUUUUCUUUUUUAACUAUUAUUUUUCAUAAUAUUUCAAUUUUCUUUUUCAAUACUAUUAAACUAUAAUUAAUAUUAUUUUUUCURUAAUUAAUACUAAAAAUUUUAAUAUUAUAACUAUUUUUAAUAUAUAUAUAUAUAUAUAUAUAUAAUAAAUAAAUAAAUAAAUAAAAAU
rnacentral:rRNA from 1 species